rnacentral:rRNA from 1 species
UACGGGGGGUGCAAGCGUUGUUCGGAAUCACUGGGCGUAAAGGGCGUGUAGGCGGUUAGGUAAGUGAGAUGUGAAAUGCCCCGGCUCACCCGGGGACCGGCAUCUCAUACUGCUUGGCUUGAGUACGGGAGAGGAUGUGGGAAUUCCUGGUGUAGCGGUGAAAUGCGUAGAUAUCAGGAGGAACACCGGUGGCGAAGGCGCACAUCUGGCCCGAUACUGACGCUGAGGCGCGAAAGCGAGGGGAGCAAACGGG